rnacentral:rRNA from 1 species
ACUGUCAGAGGUGAAAUUCUUAGACAGUGACACAGGGAGGUAGUGACAAGAAAUAACAAUACGGGGCUUAAAGUCUUGUAAUUGGAAUGAUGGGAAUUUAAACCUCUUCCAGAGUAUCAAUUGGAGGGCAAGUCUGGUGCCAGCAGCCGCGGUAAUUCCAGCUCCAAUAGCGUAUAUUAAAAUUGUUGCAGUUAAAAAGCUCGUAGUUGAAUUUCUGCUGCAUUGCUUGUGUCCCUCUGGGGUCUGUGCAUGUGGCUUUUUUCGGACGGAGUUUCUUUGUCUGAAUGUUUACUUUGAGAAAAUUAGAGUGCUCAAAGCAGGCUUUCGCCUUGAAUAGUUUAGCAUGGAAUAAUAAAGUAGGACUUUGGUUCUAUUUUGUUGGUUUUAGGUACCAAAGUAAUGGUUAAUAGGAACAGUUGGGGGCAUUCGUAUUUAACUGUCAGAGGUGAAAUUCUUAGACAGUGACACAGGGAGGUAGUGACAAG